GACGAACGCUGGCGGCGUGCCUAAUACAUGCAAGUUGAGCGCUGAAGGUUGGUACUUGUACCGACUGGAUGAGCAGCGAACGGGUGAGUAACGCGUGGGGAAUCUGCCUUUGAGCGGGGGACAACAUUUGGAAACGAAUGCUAAUACCGCAUAAAAACUUUAAACACAAGUUUUAAGUUUGAAAGAUGCAAUUGCAUCACUCAAAGAUGAUCCCGCGUUGUAUUAGCUAGUUGGUGAGGUAAAGGCUCACCAAGGCGAUGAUACAUAGCCGACCUGAGAGGGUGAUCGGCCACAGUGGGACUGAGACACGGCCCAAACUCCUACGGGAGGCAGCAGUAGGGAAUCUUCGGCGAUGGACGAAAGUCUGACCGAGCAACGCCGCGUGAGUGAAGAAGGUUUUCGGAUCGUAAAACUCUGUUGGUAGAGAAGAACGUUGGUGAGAGUGGAAAGCUCAUCAAGUGACGGUAACUACCCAGAAAGGGACGGCUAACUACGUG
rnacentral:rRNA from 1 species